AGUAGUUCGAGUCCGUGCUACGAGGACACGCUGGCGGCGUGCCUAAUACAUGCAAGUCGAGCGGACUUUAAAAGCUUGCUUUUAAAGUUAGCGGCGGACGGGUGAGUAACACGUGGGCAACCUGCCUGUAAGACUGGGAUAACUUCGGGAAACCGGAGCUAAUACCGGAUAAUUCUUUCCACCACAUGGCGGAAAGCUGAAAGACGGUUUCGGCUGUCACUUACAGAUGGGCCCGCGGCGCAUUAGCUAGUUGGUGAGGUAACGGCUCACCAAGGCAACGAUGCGUAGCCGACCUGAGAGGGUGAUCGGCCACACUGGGACUGAGACACGGCCCAGACUCCUACGGGAGGCAGCAGUAGGGGAUCUUCCGCAAUGGACGAAAGUCUGACGGAGCAACGCCGCGUGAGUGAUGAAGGUUUUCGGAUCGUAAAGCUCUGUUGUUAGGGAAGAACAAGUACAAGAGUAACUGCUUGUACCUUGACGGUACCUAACCAGAAAGCCACGGCUAACUACGUG
rnacentral:rRNA from 1 species